rnacentral:rRNA from 1 species
UCGGGUUGUAAAGCACUUUCAGUCGUGAGGAAGGUAGUGUAGUUAAUAGCUGCAUUAUUUGACGUUAGCGACAGAAGAAGCACCGGCUAACUCCGUGCCAGCAGCCGCGGUAAUACGGAGGGUGCGAGCGUUAAUCGGAAUUACUGGGCGUAAAGCGCAUGCAGGUGGUUUGUUAAGUCAGAUGUGAAAGCCCGGGGCUCAACCUCGGAAUUGCAUUUGAAACUGGCAGACUAGAGUACUGUAGAGGGGGGUAGAAUUUCAGGUGUAGCGGUGAAAUGCGUAGAGAUCUGAAGGAAUACCGGUGGCGAAGGCGGCCCCCUGGACAGAUACUGACACUCAGAUGCGAAAGCGUGGGGAGCAAACAGGAUUAGAUACCCUGGUAGUCCACGCCGUAAACGAUGUCUACUUGGAGGUUGUGGCCUUGAGCCGUGGCUUUCGGAGCUAACGCGUUAAGUAGACCGCCUGGGGAGUACGGUCGCAAGAUUAAAACUCAAAUGAAUUGACGGGGGCCCGCACAAGCGGUGGAGCAUGUGGUUUAAUUCGAUGCAACGCGAAGAACCUUACCUACUCUUGACAUCCAGAGAACUUUCCAGAGAUGGAUUGGUGCCUUCGGGAACUCUGAGACAGGUGCUGCAUGGCUGUCGUCAGCUCGUGUUGUGAAAUGUUGGGUUAAGUCCCGCAACGAGCGCAACCCUUAUCCUUG